CACAAUGGGCGCAAGCCUGAUGCGAGCCAUGCCGCGUGUAUGAAGAAGGCCGUUCGGGUUGUAAAGUACUUCAGCAGUGAGGAAGGUGGUGCAGUUAAUAGCUGUAUCAUUUGACGUUAGCUGCAGAAGAAGCACCGGCUAACUCCGUGCCAGCAGCCGCGGUAAUACGGAGGGUGCGAGCGUUAAUCGGAAUUACUGGGCGUAAAGCGCAUGCAGGUGGUUUGUUAAGUCAGAUGUGAAAGCCCGGGGCUCAACCUCGGAAUUGCAUUUGAAACUGGCAGACUAGAGUACUGUAGAGGGGGUAGAAUUUCAGGUGUAGCGGUGAAAUGCGUAGAGAUCUGAAGGAAUACCGGUGGCGAAGGCGGCCCCCUGGACAGAUACUGACACUCAGAUGCGAAAGCGUGGGGAGCAAACAGGAUUAGAUACCCUGGUAG
rnacentral:rRNA from 1 species